rnacentral:rRNA from 1 species
UACGUAGGGUGCAAGCGUUGUCCGGAAUUAUUGGGCGUAAAGAGUUCGUAGGCGGUUUGUCGCGUCGGAUGUGAAAACCCGGGGCUCAACCCCGGGCCUGCAGCCGAUACGGGCAGACUAGAGUUCGGCAGGGGAGGCUGGAAUUCCUGGUGUAGCGGUGAAAUGCGCAGAUAUCAGGAGGAACACCGGUGGCGAAGGCGGGUCUCUGGGCCGAUACUGACGCUGAGGAACGAAAGCGUGGGGAGCAAACAGG